GAUGAACGCUAGCUACAGGCUUAACACAUGCAAGUCGAGGGGAAACGACAUCGAAAGCUUGCUUUUGAUGGGCGUCGACCGGCGCACGGGUGAGUAACGCGUAUCCAACCUGCCCACCACUUGGGGAUAACCUUGCGAAAGUAAGACUAAUACCCAAUGAUAUCUCUAGAAGACAUCUGAAAGAGAUUAAAGAUUUAUCGGUGAUGGAUGGGGAUGCGUCUGAUUAGCUUGUUGGCGGGGUAACGGCCCACCAAGGCUACGAUCAGUAGGGGUUCUGAGAGGAAGGUCCCCCACAUUGGAACUGAGACACGGUCCAAACUCCUACGGGAGGCAGCAGUGAGGAAUAUUGGUCAAUGGUCGAGAGCCUGAACCAGCCAAGUAGCGUGCAGGAUGAUGGCCCUAUGGGUUGUAAACUGCUUUUAUAAGGGAAUAAAGUGAGCCUCGUGAGGCUUUUUGCAUGUACCUUAUGAAUAAGGACCGGCUAAUUCCGUGCCAGCCGCCGCCGUAACAC
rnacentral:rRNA from 1 species